rnacentral:rRNA from 1 species
UACGUAGGGUGAAAGCGUUAAUCGGAAUUACUGGGCGUAAAGCGUGCGCAGGCGGUUGUGCAAGACAGAUGUGAAAUCCCCGGGCUUAACCUGGGAACUGCAUUUGUGACUGCACAGCUGGAGUGCGGCAGAGGGGGAUGGAAUUCCGCGUGUAGCAGUGAAAUGCGUAGAUAUGCGGAGGAACACCGAUGGCGAAGGCAAUCCCCUGGGCCUGCACUGACGCUCAUGCACGAAAGCGUGGGGAGCAAACAGG